GUAGAUUGGUAAAUCCGGUGGAUUUCUAAAUUGUUGAAUGAAUUCCAUUCUUCUCCCUUGGGUGGCCAUUCGGGUGCUUUUCGCACUUAUAGGCAGCUAGCUUCAAAUUUAUAUUGGCCUGGAAUGAUGAAAAGUGUUCAACAAUAUGUGGCUGAAUGUUUAACAUGUCAAGAAAAUAAAAUGAAGUAUCAUCACCUGCAGGAUUACUU
rnacentral:misc_RNA from 1 species